CCUACGGGGGGCAGCAGUGGGGAAUAUUGGGCAAUGGGCGCAAGCCUGACCCAGCAACGCCGCGUGGAGGAAGAAGGCUUUCGGGUUGUAAACUUCUUUUCUCAGGGACGAAGAAUGUGACGGUACGUGAGGAAUAAGCAACGGGUAACUACGUGCCAGCAGCCGCGGUAAUACGUAGGUGGCAGGCGUUAUCCGGAUUUAUUGGGUGUAAAGGGCGUGUAGGCGGGAGCGCAAGUGCGAUGUGAAACGGCGUGGCUCAACCCUGAGCCUGCAUUUGAAACUGGCUUUCUUGAGUGCUGGAGAGGCAAGCGGAAUUCCGUGUGUAGCGGUGAAAUGCGUAGAUAUACGGAGGAACACCAGUGGCGAGGGCGGAUUGCUGGACAGUAACUGACGCUGAGGCGCGAAAGCGUGGGGAGCAAACAGGAUUAGAUACCCUUGUAGUC
rnacentral:rRNA from 1 species